rnacentral:piRNA from 1 species
UUGCGCAAGAAUACUUGACAGACCGCAG